rnacentral:snRNA from 1 species
AGACGCUGUUAGUCGUGAUGAAGAAAGAACCUUUCUCGGGGGAGGGUUUUUCUUUGUGUUUGGGAUGUGUUUGGUUCUGUGAUUUCCCCGAAUGUAAGAAAACUCGGCUGCAUAACUUGUGGUAGUGGAGGACUGCUUUUGGGCUUUCCUGUG